rnacentral:lncRNA from 1 species
UUUUGCUGUGUGCAGAUGGAGGCAGUGGCUGGAGUGAAUGAACGGCAACACUUGCUGGCAACCGGCAGAAGCUGAGAGACAGGGAACAGGCUCUCCUCCAGAGCCUCCAGGAGCCAGGCCUUUGGACACCUUGAAUGUGGGCUUCUGGGAGACCAUGCGUUUCUGUUAUAAGCAGCCCAGUCUCUGGCAGUUUUUACGGCUGCCCCGGAACACUCAUCUAUACCUGUCUGACAAGGUCAAGCUCCAAGGAAGGGAUUCUCUACAUAUCUACAUUGUUUGCAGAUUUUACAAUAAUCAUUUAUUCUUGCAUGGCUGAUCAUUGUUAACCAAUACAAAUAAAAUAAUAAAGAAAUGACCCACAUUUUAUGUUGGGAGUUUGAUCUGCCAUUUAUCAAGUAUGGAAUCUUGAACAAGGGGUUAAACAUCUGAAUGUCUCCAUCACUUCAUCUCUAAAGUGGGGGUGCUCACACCCACUGGGCUCCCCCACCCAGGUUGGUGCCGGACUCUCCCUGGGCCCCCCUGUUCUCUCACCAGCCACAUCCAUUCUCCCCCCAGAGGCGCUAGUGACUGUGCGUGGCUUUCCAUUCCCACCAUGUUUGUCUCUAACCCCAGUGGCAGAUCAGUGUAAGAACACAGCUGAGUGCUCCUCGCCUCCUUGCCCCUUCAAGGGCUCCUCACCACCCACCAGAUCAGGUGCAAACUUCCAAGCCUUACUGGAUCCCCUUCCACAUUCUGAGCUCCGCCUGCCUUCCCAUCGCUAUCCUUCCCCACCUGCCUCCCUGGUAGAGAAAAGCAGAGUGUGUGAUGCUGUCUGAAUGCUGAGCACGGCCUUUUGCAGCCAGUCCACUGUGUAUGCUGCCCCUAUCGGAGACCUCCACCUUAACCCUUUCCAGCCUGGAGGCUCCUCCCAGGGCCCCACAACAGAAGUGACUUCCCUUGCCUUUGAAUUUCUAUAGCACAAGCCCUACUGCCCCCC